ACGCGGCGCGCAGGCGGCGCAGGCCGGCCGCGCUCACGUUGCGGCAGAAGUCCACGUGCAGCGUCUGCAGCGCCCGCCCGUGCGCCGCCACGGCCGUCAGCGUGCGGUUGGUGACGCGCGCGCAGUUCUCCAGGCGCAGCGCGCGCAGGCGCGGGCAGGAGCGCAGCAGACGCGCCAGGCAGUCGUCGGUGACGUGGCCGCAGCCCGACAGCGUGACGGAUGCCAGCUAGAAUGAGGACGAAACGGUGGUGCGCCAGCACCAUUGUGGAUGAUGUGGAUAAGAGUCUCACCCAGGGCUGGUGGGACAGAAAGCCAGAGGAGCCCAAUGAUUGUGUGAAACAAACCUAGAUGGAUAACCUCCAACUUUUAUGUGAGAAGAUAAACCACGGAUGUUUAAGUCACCGUUAGUUUUGGUCUUCUAUGCAUGUAGUACCUGAACCCUCAUCCUAUGUUUGAGGAACCCCACCUUAAGAGUCAAAGCCUGCCUCCUACUGUGGAAGCUGAAAAGGCCAGGUACUUGCUCUCUCAGCCCCCACCCGCUCCCCCUUGAAGCUAGGACUCAGGUACACGGCCUGGGUAUGCCUAUUUGAAGCUGGAACAGUGCCAGAUUGUUUCUGGUGGCAAAGAGCACAGUCAGGAGUGCAGGGGCCGAGCAGUAACAGCAGCAUCCACCCAGCACCCAACUCCAGCAGUGCUGGCAAUGGGAACUUCGGUGCAGCAUGGACAGCGGUCCUAAUGGGACACCCUCAUGGAUGCCUAGACUCCAGACCUGAUUUCCCCCGCGUCCACUAAUGAUGUCAAUUUUAGAAUGCCCAAAUCCACACACUCAGCAAGCGGAGUGCUACAUUUGUCCUGCCUACUAGGUAAAUAGAAAUAAAAGAAUUCUAACAAUUAUUAAGAUUGCU